GUGUCAGCCGCCGCGGUAAUACGGAGGGUGCAAGCGUUAUCCGGAUUCACUGGGUUUAAAGGGUGCGUAGGCGGGUUGGUAAGUCCGUGGUGAAAUCUCCGAGCUUAACUCGGAAACUGCCGUGGAUACUAUCAAUCUUGAAUAUCGUGGAGGUAAGCGGAAUAUGUCAUGUAGCGGUGAAAUGCUUAGAUAUGACAUAGAACACCAAUUGCGAAGGCAGCUCGUUACACGAAGAUUGACUCUGAGGCACGAAAGCGUGGGGAUCAAACAGGAUUAGAUACCCUGGUAGUCCACGCCCUAAACCAUGGAUACUCGACAUACGCGAUACACUGUGUGUGUCUGAGCGAAAGCAUUAAGUAUCCCACCUGGGAAGUACGACCGCAAGGUUGAAACUCAAAGGAAUUGACGG
rnacentral:rRNA from 1 species